rnacentral:rRNA from 1 species
GGAAUAUUGGACAAUGGGGGGAACCCUGAUCCAGCCAUGCCGCGUGUGUGAAGAAGGCCUUUUGGUUGUAAAGCACUUUAAGCGAGGAGGAGGCUCCCAGUAUUAAUACUACUGGAGAGUGGACGUUACUCGCAGAAUAAGCACCGGCUAACUCUGUGCCAGCAGCCGCGGUAAUACAGAGGGUGCAAGCGUUAAUCGGAUUUACUGGGCGUAAAGCGUGCGUAGGUGGCCAAUUAAGUCAAAUGUGAAAUCCCCGAGCUUAACUUGGGAAUUGCAUUCGAUACUGGUUGGCUAGAGUAUGGGAGAGGAUGGUAGAAUUCCAGGUGUAGCGGUGAAAUGCGUAGAGAUCUGGAGGAAUACCGAUGGCGAAGGCAGCCAUCUGGCCUAAUACUGACACUGAGGUACGAAAGCAUGGGGAGCAAACAGGAUUAGAUACCCUGG